rnacentral:rRNA from 1 species
AUGAGGAAGAAGGUGGACGAGCGCAUCCGCACGCUGAUCGAGAAUGGCGUGCGGCAGCGGCAGCGGUCCAUGUUCAUCAUCGUCGGCGACAAGUCGCGCGACCAGAUCGUCAACCUCAACUACAUGCUGGCCAAGUCCCGCGUCAAGUCGCGCCCCUCCGUGCUCUGGUGCUACCGCAACAAGCUCGAGAUCAGCAGCCACCGGAAGAAGCGCGCCAAGCAGAUCAAGAAGCUCAUGCAGCGCGGCCUCAUGGACCCCGAGAAGGCCGACCCCUUCUCCCUCUUCCUCGAGACCUCCGACAUCACCUACUGCAUGUACAAGGACUCGGAGAGGGUCCUCGGCAACACAUUUGGCAUGUGCAUACUGCAGGACUUCGAGGCGCUGACGCCGAACCUUCUGGCCAGGACCAUUGAGACCGUUGAGGGCGGCGGUUUGGUCAUCCUGCUGCUCUCUUCGCUCUCCUCGCUGACCAGUCUCUACACGAUGGUCAUGGAUGUUCAUGAAAGGUUCCGAACAGAGUCUCAUACUCAGGCAGCCACAAGGUUUAACGAGAGGUUCUUACUGUCCAUAGCUUCAUGCAAAGCAUGUAUUGUGAUGGAUGACGAACUCAACAUUUUGCCUAUAUCAUCCCACAUGAAAUUUAUACAACCAGUUACAAAGAAUGAGGAUUCUGAGGGAUUGUCUGAAAGGGAACGAGAGCUCAAAGACCUAAAAGAUCAAUUCCGUGAAGACUUCCCGGUUGGCCCUUUAAUUGGAAAGUGUUGCACUAUGGAUCAGGGUAAAGCUGUUAUCAAUUUUCUAGACUCUAUUUUGGACAAGUCCCUUAGGAGCACGGUCGCCUUGCUCGCUGCUCGUGGACGUGGGAAAUCAGCUGCCCUUGGUCUUGCUAUUGCUGGAGCCAUCGCAGCUGGGUAUUCAAAUAUAUUUGUCACCGCACCAAGUCCUGAGAACUUAAAUACACUAUUUGAUUUUGUCUGCAAAGGAAUAAAUGCAAUGGAGUACAAGGAGCAUUUGCAUUAUGAUGUUGUGAAGAGUUCGGAUCCAAAUCUCAGGAAAGCUAUAAUACAAAUAAACGUCCAUAAGCAACAUCGUCAAACGAUCCAGUAUUUGAAACCACAUGAUCAUGGAAAGCUUUCUCAAGUUGAACUUCUUGUCAUUGAUGAAGCAGCCGCUAUUCCAUUGCCAAUUGUUAAAGCCUUGCUUGGCCCAUAUCUUGUUUUCCUAUCUUCCACUGUCAACGGGUAUGAAGGGACAGGCCGAUCCUUGUCUUUGAAACUCCUCCAGCAGUUAGAAUCCCAAAGCCAGCCAUCAGCUUCAAGUGAUGGACCCAGUUCCAGCAGGCUGUUUAAAAAAAUCGAAUUAAAUGAAUCCAUUAGGUAUGCCUCUGGUGAUCCUAUUGAGACCUGGCUUAAUGAGUUGCUUUGUUUGGAUCUUGCAAACUCCAUUCCAAACAUCAGUAGGCUACCUCAUCCAGAACACUGUCAGCUGUAUUAUGUCAACCGGGACACACUUUUCUCGUAUCACAAGGAGAGUGAGGUAUUUUUACAGCGGAUGAUGGCACUUUAUGUUGCUUCUCACUACAAAAAUUCACCCAAUGACUUGCAAUUAAUGGCUGAUGCACCCGCACAUCACCUUUUUGUACUGCUUGGCCCAGUUAAUGAAUCCGAAAACCAGCUACCGGAUAUUCUGUGCGUGAUUCAGGUCUGCCUGGAAGGACAAAUAUCUCGAAAAUCAGCUAUCAGAAGCCUAAAUGAGGGCCAUGCGCCUUCCGGUGAUCAAAUUCCAUGGAAGUUUUGUGAACAAUUUCAAGACAAUGUAUUUCCCAGUCUAUCAGGAGCUCGAAUAGUACGAAUCGCUGUUCAUCCAAGUGCCCUGAGGCUUGGAUAUGGUUCUGCUGCUGUCAAACUUUUAUCAAGUUAUUACCAAGGAGAAAUGACAGUAUUUAAAGAUGCGGAGGGAAUUGAAGAACCUGAUGUUACAAUUUCUGAAGCUGCAGAGAAGGCUUCUCUGCUAGAAGAGAGCAUAAAGCCUAGGGCAAAUCUUCCACCUCUCCUUGUUAAUCUUGAGGAUCGUCAUCCUGAAAAGCUCCAUUACCUUGGUGUAUCUUUCGGGUUGACACAAGAGCUUUUCCGGUUUUGGCGGAAGCACAGCUUCUAUCCAUUCUAUGUGGGCCAGAUUCCAAGUGCUGUUACUGGCGAGCAUACCUGUAUGGCCUUGAGUCCCUUAAAUAGUGAUGACAUCAAAGCUGGUGAUUCAAUUCAACUUGGAUUUUUGGAGCCAUUUUAUAAAGAUUUCAGACAGAGGUUCAGGCGGCUUUUAGGAACAUCUUUCCGGCAUCUCAACUUUAAGCUUGCAAUGAGUGUUUUGGCUUCAAAAAUAGACUUUUCACACCACGAGCCUUCAGAGCAUGAUACCAAUAUUACAUUGAAGUUAUUGAGAGAUGUAUUAUCCCCACAUGAUAUGAAGCGACUAGAAGCAUAUUCAAACAACUUGGUCGAUUAUCAUCUGAUUUUGGAUCUUGUCCCUAUCCUAGCACACGAGUACUUCUCAGAGAAGCUUCCUGUAACCCUACAUGGUGCCCAAGCUUCAGUUUUGUUCUGUAUGGGUCUGCAGGACAAAGACAUAGGUGCUACAAAGGAAGAGCUUGGCAUAGAAAGGGAACAAGUUCUAUCUAACUUCAUCAAGACAAUGAAGAAGUUGUAUGGUUAUCUUAAUAACACUGCAGGAAAAGAAAUUGAAGCAACCUUACCGAGACUUAAGGAAAUUGAAGCCCCACUUAGCAGAUCAAUGGACGAAGACCUUGACGAAGCUGCUCAGGAAGUGAAGGAAAAAAGAAGAGUCGCGGAUGAAGCAGCCGUGGACCCAAAGUUACUGCAGAAGUAUGCGAUUAAAAGCGAUGACCUUGAGAUUGAGAAGGCUCUGCAGAAUGAGAAAUUGUCUGCAAGUGGCGUUAUCAGUGUAAAAUCCAGCAAAUCAAGUGCAGACAAGAAAGAGAAGCAUAGGGAAAACGAAAAAUCGAAAAGAAAAGGACAAGAUAGUGGUAGAUCGGAGAAGAAGAAGAAGCGAACUUGA